GACGAACGCUGGCGGCGUGCUUAACACAUGCAAGUCGAACGGUGACGAGGAGCUUGCUCCUCUGAUCAGUGGCGAACGGGUGAGUAACACGUGAGCAACCUGCCCCAGACUCUGGGAUAACAGUUGGAAACAGCUGCUAAUACCGGAUACGAGACGGAGAGGCAUCUCUACCGUCUGGAAAGUUUUUCGGUCUGGGAUGGACUCGCGGCCUAUCAGCUAGUUGGUGAGGUAAUGGCUCACCAAGGCGACGACGGGUAGCCGGCCUGAGAGGGCGACCGGCCACACUGGGACUGAGACACGGCCCAGACUCCUACGGGAGGCAGCAGUGGGGAAUAUUGCACAAUGGGCGAAAGCCUGAUGCAGCGACGCCGCGUGAGGGAUGACGGCCUUCGGGCUGUAACCUCUUCAGCAGGGAGAAGCGAAAGUGACGGUACCUGCAGAAGAAGCACCGGCUAACUACGUGCCAGCAGCCGCGGUAAUCAACGG
rnacentral:rRNA from 1 species